GGCGGAGUAGCAAAGUGGUUACUGCGAUUGACUCGAAGUGGUUUAGUUUAGUGUACCAAUUACGAACCAUAGCAAUCAAUUGCCUUCGGGCGCGCAGGUUCGAAUCCUGCCUCCGUCG
rnacentral:tRNA from 1 species